rnacentral:rRNA from 1 species
UACGAAGGGGGCUAGCGUUGCUCGGAAUCACUGGGCGUAAAGCGCACGUAGGCGGAUUGUUAAGUCAGGGGUGAAAUCCUGGAGCUCAACUCCAGAACUGCCUUUGAUACUGGCGAUCUUGAGUCCGGGAGAGGUGAGUGGAACUGCGAGUGUAGAGGUGAAAUUCGUAGAUAUUCGCAAGAACACCAGUGGCGAAGGGCG